UACAGAGGGGGCAAGCGUUGUUCGGAAUUACUGGGCGUAAAGGGCGCGUAGGCGGCUCGCUAAGUCGGAUGUGAAAACUCUGGGCUCAACCCAGAGCCUGCAUUCGAAACUGACGAGCUAGAGUUCUGGAGGGGAAAGCGGAAUUCCUGGUGUAGCGGUGAAAUGCGUAGAUAUCAGGAGGAACACCGGUGGCGAAGGCGGCUUUCUGGACAGAAACUGACGCUGAGGCGCGAAAGCUAGGGGAGCAAACAGG
rnacentral:rRNA from 1 species